GAUGAACGCUAGCGGCAGGCUUAAUACAUGCAAGUCGUGGGGCAGCAUGACUGUAGCAAUACAGUUGAUGGCGACCGGCAAACGGGUGCGGAACACGUACACAACCUUCCUUUAAGUGGGGAAUAGCCCAGAGAAAUUUGGAUUAAUACCCCGUAACAUAAUGAAGUGGCAUCACUUUAUUAUUAUAGCAGCAAUGCGCUUGAAGAUGGGGGUGCGGCUGAUUAGAUAGUUGGCGGGGUAACGGCCCACCAAGUCGACGAUCAGUAACUGGUGUGAGAGCACGACCAGUCACACGGGCACUGAGACACGGGCCCGACUCCUACGGGAGGCAGCAGUAAGGAAUAUUGGUCAAUGGACGAAAGUCUGAACCAGCCAUGCCGCGUGGAGGAUGAAGGCCCUCUGGGUUGUAAACUUCUUUUAUAUGGGACGAAGAAGGGCCUUUCUAGGUCAACUGACGGUACCAUGUGAAUAAGCACCGGCUAACUCCGUGCCAGCAGCCGCAGUAACAC
rnacentral:rRNA from 1 species